rnacentral:lncRNA from 1 species
UUGGGAGGUCUACUAUUAUUUUUCUUAAAUUUUUUUCUUCUUAGGCUUUAAAGAAGUAUUUUUGUGAGUUUUAAGAGUAGCAUUAUUUGAAGUAAUUAAAUUUACCUUCGUUGUGAUGUUGCUCUCUUGUUUUUGUAAAAGUGCAUCUUGGCCCCUUGCCUCUUCACCAUCGUACUUUUCCACUUUCUCAUGAUGAGAAAUAAGUUCAUCAUCAUCCAUGGAGUUGUCAUCAACUUUAUUAGGAUUCUUCUCAGUUAACACAUAAGAAACAUUGAGAAGACUUAAGUAGAAAAGUAUUUUACCCUUCCAUCUGUUGAAAUGGUUACCAUUGAACCG